UACCUGGUUGAUCCUGCCAGUAGUCAUAUGCUUGUCUCAAAGAUUAAGCCAUGCAAGUCUAAGUACGAGCUCUCGUACAGUGAAACUGCGAAUGGCUCAUUAAAUCAGUUAUGGUUCAUUUGAUCGUACAGUUUACUUGGAUAACUGUGGUAAUUCUAGAGCUAAUACAUGCGAGAAGCGCCGACCUCGCGGGAGGCGUGCAUUUAUCAGACCAAAAACCGGCCGCGUCUUCGGGCGCGUUCGCCUUGGUGACUCUGGAUAACUUUGCGGAUCGCACGGUCUAGCACCGGCGACGGAUCAUUCAAGUGUCUGCCCUAUC
rnacentral:ncRNA from 1 species